GACGAACGCUGGCGGCGUGCUUAACACAUGCAAGUCGAGCGGAAAGGCCCUUCGGGGUACUCGAGCGGCGAACGGGUGAGUAACACGUGAGUAAUCUGCCCCUCACUCAGGGAUAACCGCGGGAAGCUGCGGCUAAUACUUGAUAUGACCACGUCUCGCAUGGGGUGUGGUGGAAAGCGUUUAGUGGUGAGGGAUGUGCUCGCGGCCUAUCAGCUUGUUGGUGAGGUAAUGGCUCACCAAGGCUUUGACGGGUAGCCGGCCUGAGAGGGUGACCGGUCACACUGGGACUGAGACACGGCCCAGACUCCUACGGGAGGCAGCAGUGGGGAAUAUUGGACAAUGGGCGGAAGCCUGAUCCAGCAACGCCGCGUGAGGGAUGACGGCCUUCGGGUUGUAAACCUCUUUCAGUACCGACGAAGCGCAAGUGACGGUAGGUACAGAAGAAGGACCGGCCAACUACGUGCCAGCCGCCGCAGUAACAC
rnacentral:rRNA from 1 species